rnacentral:lncRNA from 1 species
GAAAAACAAUAUAAAGUAGCUCUAGACAGCAAUAAUGAUUCAAGCCUAACCUAUAGUGUUGCAACCUUGACUGCAGUGGCAUGCCCAUCUUACCUUUCUAAUCGAGGAUUCAAAUUGAGCUGACUUAUCUCCCUUCAAUGAGUCAUGUGAUACUUGAUUGUCUUCUUUCCCCUCGUCAACCUGUGAAGUUUGUGAAAGUUCAGGGCAAUAUUGCGCAAGUGCAAGCAAACAAGUACAUAAUUUUCAAUCUACAUACUUAAAUAUCAUGACACUUAACUCCAAAUUAAUCAUGUAGGCCAGUAACAAUAAAAAUUCUAAAUAAGAUGUUCAACUUGCAUCAAAAUAAUGUGUGCACACAAGAUACUCAUGGAGCUUGCCUUUCUCCAGCCAAAACUAGACAAAUCAUGCUUGUCCUUUGCAUAAAAUUUUUUUUUCCACCUAUUAUAACAAAAAACAAAUUCCAACACUUAUUACUAGAUUGUCAAAAGGCUAGCACCAAAAUUUAUAAUGUCAAAAUAACUUUGUAAAUUGUGUCAAAACUCAUGAGAAUAUCUCAAUAUUCAAUAUCCCAAGGGAACUUUAUUC